AUUUAGUUUGUUUGGAUGAUGAGAUGAAAGAAGAAGAUGAAAAUAUUUUUUACAAUAGAUAGUAUAAUCAAUAAAAUGAGUUUGGCAUAGUUGCUUAUGGAUCCGUUUUUGAAAGCUUCCUCCUUUUUUCCGUUUAAUUUUAGUUAACUAUCAGUUUUUUAAUCUCAAGAAUUACAUUAAUAGACUUGUUUUACUUACUGUUUUUGUUUCGUGGUGGAGUAGGGCGAUGUGUGGAGCAAUCAGGGAGUGUGAUUUGGGUUAUGUGAUUCGACUCUGUUUCUCGAGUCAUGUUUGAUUUGGACGAAGAAGAGUGUUCAUUGUGUUGAUUUCAGCAAACGGAUAAAAAAGUGGAGCUGGCCCGGAGUGGAAGAAAGGGGUUGCUGAAUGGUUCAAUGGGUCCCAUACUGCACGUAUAAUGGGGACUCUCCAUUCAGACUGUAUGCAAGAGGAACUGCGUAUACGUAGCAUCAAUCCGUUGGCUGGAGCUGCAGACCAAGACACUGGAGCUUGAUGAUAGUAACCCAUUGUUGCAGGACCCUGGAAGACAGGCAACGGUAUACUCUGCAUUUGGGGAAACAUCAUGCUUUGUGGCUGUGACUGGUUUGGAGCCUGUCCAAGGGGAAACUGUUGAGAAACAUCAUCUUUCCUGCAGCCAUCAAUGCACUUGCGUUGGACCUGGUGGGAGUUUUUUCUAUGCUGGUAGUAAAGAUAGCAAAAUUUGUAUCGGUGCCAUGAUUAUGCGACACAAGCUCCUGGUUCAGUAUCUGAACAAAGCGACUAAUCAUAUCGACUGAUGCAGCAUCUUAACAAUCAGUAACCUCUCCAAUUUUGUUGCUUUGGGGUUCACGUGGGUUAAUAAUUAUUAUGGGUUUUAUGUUGUUUUGGGCUUUUACGUUUUAAUUAGAUUAUGGUUUAGGGUUUGUUUUAUUUAAGAAGUUCGUGAUGUAUUAUUAUAAGCUGCUUAUGACGUCUAAUAAAAUAUUCAGAGUGAAAGUUAUCUCUUUUACCUUGUU